rnacentral:lncRNA from 1 species
UCCCUUGAAAGAAGCUUCAAGCUCAAAACUUGGGCAUUACCAAAUCAAUAAGUUGGUGUCACGUUGCCAGUGACAACGGUUACUGCAUUAAAAAAUAUAUAUAUAUGCCCUCACACUCUCAAAGGAUUAUAUAAAGCAGCUUUGAAGGUUUCAGCCGUUGUAGCCCUCUUUCUCUUUUGGAAUCUACCGUACAUCCGCCUUGGCUGUACAGCAGUUGUAUUAAGUAUAAAAGUGAUUUUCAAAAUGGGAUUCUGAAAAAUUACUCCUUCCUUACUUUUUAAAAAUUAGUGUAAGCAAGUGUGAUUUUACCAAAAUAAUUUUAAAAAAUUUUUUACCAAACACUAAAAUUAAUUUUUAAUUUUUUACAAUCACUUUAAGUCUUCAAAGAUAAACCCUAAUUUGCCCUUAAGUUGGGCACCAUAUUUCAUUUUGGUUCAUGAUUUGAUUUGAUUUCAUAAUUCGCUAGCUAGAUCAUCUAAAGAACAUGGUCCCCAACCAUAUAGAAUCUCAAAAUUGGACUCAUCUGCCCUAUUUUUAUUAGUUGGCUUAAAAGCAUUUCCUAGAAUUAAGAGGGAAAAAACAAGCAACAUGACAGGUGUCUCAAUAAUUUUUUUCCUUUUUCCAAAUGGUUUCACCAACCGAUUUUUUUAUAAUCGUGCAGCGCAUUGAUUUCCUGAAACUGAGACCCCAAUCUUUGAAUAAUCUUGUUUGUGCACUUCAGGGUCCAUUGAUAUUUUAUUAAUGUUAUUGUUGGCUUUUUUCAGCAUAGUCUUUUGUUUAAUCAAUUAAAGAUAACUACAGGUUUGAUAAAAGCUGCCUUUUAUUUUAUUUUUUUCUUUUUUAUACAUGUAUUCUCUCCCUUUAAUAAUAUAUGAUUCAAUGUGAUGGCCCUAGCAACCACAGCACUUCAAUUAAGCAGAGGAAAAGAAAUGUUCCCAUUUAGAUGCCCGUAGCUUAAGUCAUCGUAGAAGAAAUGAUUCCCUUGUCCUUACCCUUGUUAGAAAAUCAAACAUGACCUAGAAAGAAAAGGAAAAGGUAAUGACUUUAAUCUGGCCGUAGCUUAAAUCAAACAUCUCCUCAAAAAAAAAAAAAAUCUGGCCAUAGCUUUGGACUUAGUGGUAGGUCAAAUUAUUGUGUACAGUAAACAAACAAACAUACAUGUGUAAACUAUAUGUUUCCUGUCAAAUUAACAUUAAGUUACAGGGCGACUGAAUCAGCAUGAGUCCCUUUCAUGAAGAGGCAUCCAACAGUAGCAGAAAGAGCUUCACAUGCCAAACAGGCAAGCAAAGAAAAAUCAUUCUAGAAAAAUGGGCACCAUAAAAUUUUUUAUUACUUGUCUGUCAAUGGGACAACUAAAUUCAUCACAUAGAAUCGCUUUGAACUUACAUGCACACAUAAUGAAUCAUAAAACUAUAAAGGAUGUGUGAGUGAUAACAGAUUUACACAAAAAUCCUAUAUUACCCACGCUAGCACCAAGAACCUACCAAGACCAAACAAGGUGAUAAAGAAGGACACCACCAAAAAAAGGUGUGAAUAGAAGAAUUUCUGAAUACAUGAAUGAACUUGAUAAAGAAUGUGCUUGUGGAAUGGCAGGGGAAGAAAGCUUGAAUGUAUAUUUUGGAAGUUAGGGAACAUAUUCAUUUUCGAGGACUGGCUGAGUUCGAGUCACCAUUGCUGCUGGUGCUUUUGUAUCCCCAACCGGUGUCAUGCGCAGAGCUUCUCCCACAUCUGCAGCCUUUUCCAUCUGUUGCAUUUUCUUUCUGUGCUUGUAUUUCUGCAGCCAUAGUACUAGUAAUGACAACAACACCAACAAUGCUAAUCCACCCGCAACAGACCCAACAAUUAUCCAGACCUUUGAAUUACUCUUCUUUCCUUUACUCGGUGGUGGUGGUGGGAAACCUGGUGGUGGUCUUGGGGCAAUGGAUUCAACUACUAUAGAGAAAUGCCCCUGUUGGACAGUUAAACAUGUGUUGCCUGAUACUACAUUGCUGAAGUUUACCAAACCAUGUAAAUCAAACCAAACACACUUGGGAACAGACCCAUCAGGAGCCGGCAUCACAUCUUGGAAUACAAUCGAUAUGGGGUUACCAGAUGCCCUAAUAUCCAAUUCUGGCAAAUUCUUAGCUGAUAAAUCUGAAGCAUCAUAUGCAAGAAGACCAAGAACAGGAGCCAAGUAAGUGUAUGAGGGUAAUGGAUAAUAUGUACCAGACCAAUUGCCCAAAUUCUGGUACACUAAAACAAGCCUUUCGACAUAGGGGCUCUCAAUAACCCCUAUAGGAAUACGAAACUCUUUGUACAUAUUCACGCCUCUUGUUCUUAAGCUGCCACUCCUAAGCCUCAUUGCUGCAAUCUUAAUCCCAGUCAAAUUUGAAGGAACAACCCCUUCAAAGGGAAUACCGGUCCUGGGACGAACAAAAGCCCUAUAAGCAUAGUCUUGGAGAAGGGCAUCAAGAGCAGGAGCAGAGCCAGAUUGAGCCACAACAUCCAGUGAAAGAAAGGAAAACCAUGUCAUAGAAAUAAGCAUCGCGAGACUUCGAAGAAGCCCCAUCGAUGCUUUUCAAUCCUCCAACUUGCCAAUCAAAUUAACCUUGUAACACUCCAGUGAAAUAUUCAAUACCCACGAAGACUAUAUUAACAAAAUUCCAACACCAACUUAAAUACCUAAGAUCCAAAUCAAACAAUAACAGAAAUGCAGACGGAUAAAUGCGGCAAAUCCCUUGAAAGAAGCUUCAAGCUCAAAACUUGGGCAUUACCAAAUCAAUAAGUUGGUGUCACGUUGCCAGUGACAACGGUUACUGCAUUAAAAAAUAUAUAUAUAUGCCCUCACACUCUCAAAGGAUUAUAUAAAGCAGCUUUGAAGGUUUCAGCCGUUGUAGCCCUCUUUCUCUUUUGGAAUCCUUGUAAAAGAAGACUCGGCGACUCAAAAUAGAAUCUUUAACAGCAUUUUAAUUUUCUUCCAGAAAUUAAGCCCAUGAUUCUCCAGCAUUUACCCAUGAUACGGUAAUUAACAAUAUAAUGACAGAAAUAAAUAGCCAGUAAGAAAAAUAAAACGCCUCAUUUGAACAGCCAAUCCAUCAUUAUUAGAGUUAAUAAUAUUGGAUUACUUACUAGGUAGCUGAUGAUUUUCUCGUGCUACCCACCGAAUCUUUGACAGAUAACGCCACAAUGACUCACAUGAAUCCACCAUGAAACCCUAGAAUCUUGAGAUAAAUCAUGAUUCACUUCGAGGGAAGAUCACGAACACUCACAGCGAAACAAUGCAAGUAGGUGACUGGCAGGGUAAAAAAUCAAAACUUUUUCAAUUCCCUUGUAAAUUGAACUAGCAGCAUUUGGAUUAAAACCCCAGCACUCAAAGAGCCGUGGCUGACCAGCGCAAAUACUUGCUUCUGAUUUGAUAAUGAUAAUGAUAAUGGAUCCAAAGGCUUAAUGGGUAAUACAAGUAAAGGUGAAAACUUUUUACUUGAUACGAAAUUUUGAGGGGAAAAAAGAAGGAACUCGUAAUGAGAAAUGGAGAAUAUAAGAGAGGAGAUAAGCUUUGGCUGCUAAGAGUAGAUGCGGGGCAGUGGUAGAGACUAGAGUGAAAAGAGAGAAGAAGACAGAAGAAAGAGAAUGAGAGAGAGAGAGAGAGAGAGAGAGAGAAAAGAAAAAAAGAAAAAAAAAGUUUGAGAAAAUGGCUUUUGCCAACUAUAUAUAAAUGCUUCUCUCAUUUACAGCUAGCUAGUCAGCCAAACAGGUCGCUGAAUACUCUUAAACCCCACAUGCCCUUCUCUUGUCCUUCCCCUUUUGCCCCUGCAUUUCUUCCAAAAACACCAGUCUCUCAUUUUGCCCGCAGUAAAAGGGGGGACAAUGUUAAUCAUACUAUGAGUAAAUCAUAUUUACGUUAUGUUAUACCAUCACGCCGUGUUCCACUUAACGAAUGUGUCUUUCAUCAUAACGUAUUCUUAUUUUUAUAAUAAUGAUAUAGUUAGCAAUAUUAUCAAUGUUAUAAUAAUCUGCGUUGUCAUAUAAUACAAUACAAUUAAAUACAAUAUUUCUGUCCAUUUACAACUUUCACGUGUUUGUGAAAUUCAUUAUUAUAUAUUAACUUUUAAAAUUAUUAUUUCAUAAAAUACUGUUUAAUUCAUUUUUUAAAAAAAAAAAAAUUGAAUUGAGAUUGAUUGAUGUUCAAUUGAUAAUAGAUUUACAAACUUUAUUACCUUACAUUAGGCGUUGCGCACAUCAAAGAAAUUAAUAAGUUAACCACCACUUUUUCACCAUAUUUCACAACUCCUCUUUUACUGUUUAUUAUAUUUCCAAAUGUUCGAUUAAAUUUAACGACUCUUCUUCGACUAAUGUUUGUUAUCCCAUCAUGUAAAUUGACCAUAGCCUCGAUUUAUGUUAGCGUGUUAAUUUUUUUUGGUUGAUUUUGUCUUUUUUGUGCACUUGUUCAAUUUUCAAAUAGAUUUCAACAGUCGCACCAAGCCUAAUUAAUUUUUUUUUUCCUAGUAAUAUUGAAAAUUAAAUAAGUUGAUUUUGAUACUGGUAAUAUUGAGUUUUUCUUUAAAGCUGUAAUUUGAGUUUAUUAUCGCAAUUUUACUAAUCAUCAAACACGUGAUGAUGUGAAAACCCUUUUGUUCUCUAAUUUUGAAAGUUGACAUUCUCAAUUGCCGACGAAAUAGUUGCACAAAUAAUAUAUAAUAGACAAAUGCUCCUUUCAAAAUCAGUGAACAAAUUGAAGGUCUCUAUCAUCGAAAUUUUUAACCUCACAAUUACAUAAUUAUAUAUAUAUAUAUAUAAAUGCUCAUUAAUUAGAAAAAAUGAACAAGUCUUUAAGAACUUGUGCCUUUCAAAAAACAUUCCCAACAAAUUUAGCAGAAAAGGAAUUCUCAAAUCAUCUAUCUUCUUUUUCUUUAUGUGGCUACCUAUAAAAUUAAAAAAAAUAAAUAAAUAAAUAAAAACUACAAUUGCCAGCCCAUUUAUCUGACUCGUCCCUGCAAUCAUUCCUGUUGGUCCACACUUGCCAAAGCACGCCAUUUGCACGUGCCUCCCAUGUGAUUGUCGCCAUAAUGAUUGUUUUGGUAACUUCCCCCUGCAACAAUCCGAGUAGAUACCGUUUGACCCUGAUUAAGAUUUUAUGUAAUCCGUUUAAAUUAUAAAUUGAUUAAAUUCUAUCUAAAUGGAUUAAUGUUAAUCUCUUUUUAUGAUUUACACCUAUCGGAUUAUGAUUUUAUAUUAUUUUUCUUUUUAAAAAUUUAUCCAAUAAAUGUUAUCGAUGCUUUCUUGAGAUAUAUUUUAACAAAUUAGACACACGUGGAUAGAGUCAAGAAAAAGAAAAACAAAGCAAUUCUUUUUUUUUUUUAAGUUUUUCAACUCCUGAGAUGAAUAUCUAUGUAGACAUAAAAACACAAUAAUUUAGUAAAUUUUUUUAAUAAUGUUAAUGAUUUCAAUUUGAUUCUCAACUUAAGUCCCAAUAUACACGUCACUUUAUCCAAUAGAUGAUAACAUUGAUAACUUAUAAAAUUAAUAUUCCAUUUAAAAGAUGAAUACCACAUCAAUUAAGACUUAAAUAUUGAAAUCAUUAUACUUACACAAAAAUUUUAGUCGAAUAUAUGUAUGCAAAUGAUUUCAUUUUACGAGAGAACUCAACUUUGUAUACUAAUUAGUGUUGAGUGCUUAUAUUGUUUGGGUGGGACUUGCGAGGGCUUUAUCUCAUCCGAUUUUAAUUUUAUUUAUUUCUUGUUGGAUCUAUCACAUUCAAUAUUACAAUUCGAAUUGAUUUGUCGUAUUAAAGUAAACCAAUAUGACCCAUUUAUUAUUCAUAUGAAAAAGUACAAACAAAAUCAACACAAUUAUUGAACAAGUGUAGUGGUGACACAAAUUUAACAUAUUUUAAAGAUAUCAUUACAUAUGGUGCAUAAUAUUUUGGUACUGCCUAUUCAAUCUCUCAUCGUACCUUACUCCAAAUUUACACAUGCACUUUCUAAUUAUUUAGUAGAACAAAUAUCAUAUUAUUAUACUGAAUUCAAAACACAUUAACGAAAUACAUUUACUCCAAAGAACUCCAAAUAUGAACCAAAUAUAGUUAGAUAAACAGGGUAACUUGAAUAUGAUACAAUUAACCAUGUAUAGAUUGACGUAUGCUAUUACAAUACUGCAACUGAUACUUUCCUUAUACAAUUACAUUUAUAAUUCGGACUAAUUCUACGUAAUGUAAAACAAGACAAUACUAAAUAUAAUUUUGUAUAAUUAAAUUGAGUUCAAUUCAAUUCAAUCCAACGUGUUAAAAUUGCGUUACGAGGACCAAAUUGACCCCUCCAUCGAGUGGUACCACUAUUAAAUGCUAAAAUACGCACUUUUAAUACUCGGGGGAAAUACAACAACUAUAGAAAAAGGACCCAUGUCUUUUGGUACUUAACAAGACCAACCAAGGCUCGUGACAAAAGCGUCGCCGCUUCGCUCGCUAGCAAGUAUACGAUUAUUCAACUUAUUCGUGCACUGUGCUCGAAUGGCCUCUUUGUUCUUUGCUGUCUUUCGGGUCCACUUUCAUCUGUCGUUAACAUUUUGCAAUACCAACUUCCUCACAUUCAUAAUAAAUUAUAACUUUUUAGUGUUAAACAAAUAGCUAUGGUGAUGGGUUGAUUUGUUUGGCUGCUAAAAAAAAAAAAAAGAGAAAAAAAAAGUCUCCCUCUAAAUGAUUCCACAAUCUAUGCGACUCUUUUUGUCUUUGUAUUGAAUGUAUUGAUGGCAUGGGAGCAAAGUUCCCCAUUUUCACAUUGUGAAAUUGACCUUUACUUUUAUUACGUGUUGAUUGUCAUCACACAACCGUCACAGCUCACGACACAAGCUAGCUUUGGGGUAAUUGUCAAAACUUUUUACAUUUGUGUGCAUUUGAUACCUUCUUUAGUGGUGAGAAUCGGUAGUGAUUUCUAAUUUUCUACAACACAUAUACAAGACUGCCCACUCCCAUCUCUUUGAAUAAAUGGCUUCAGCCUAAUUGGGGUCAAUGAUUUUAGUUGAAUUGGUAAGAUACGGGAUGGUUCCAUUUUUGUAGUUAAGUAAUGCAUUCGGAAGUAGGCAAUGUACCCAAAGCUUAAAAACAUGCUAAAAAUCUCAAUCUAAAUCCUUUUUUUCAGUGAAAAAUCGAUGUAUCAGCGUACCUGACCGACCUACUUCAGCUAAAGAGAUAAAUCCUCUCUGUACAGACAAGCUGAUUAACAUGUCAUGGAUAUACAUGUUAGUGCAACAAAAGUUGCACUAAAUGAAACAUAAUUUUGAAUGAUAUGAUAAAACAAAUAGCAAGGAAAAAAAUGUGAAUAAACAAAAUGAUAAUAAAACAUUAAUCUCAAAUCAUUUGUGUGGGUGCUAAUUGGGUUAAUUAGUUAAAUAUUAUGUGGAUCCCAUACUAUUAUAGAUGUUGGUGAUGAUAUUUUUUUUCCAAAACUUUUGCAAUAACAUAUGAACGCAUAAUUCUACACUUGUUGAGUUGAAAUACUCAUCGACUAGAUUGUAAGAUGGAAUUACUAAAUAAUUUGACAGGUAUGAAAUUAUAAUACCCGCUACAUGAAUGUCGUUUUAAUGUCUGAUAUGAAAAUGGUGAGAUACUAUUAGAGAACUGAGAUAUACUAUAUAAAUAUACUGAUACCUUGGCACCUUUUUACAUUAAAAGGGCAAAAAAAAAAAACUCGUAUUUUGUAAAUGCACAAUCAUCUGUAUACAUUAAUUAAUUUAAAUUUGUAUGUGAAUCUCGAAGGUGUACUGGACUGACCGAAACCGAAAGUCAUUACAGAGAGUAGGCCCAAUAGAACUAGGCCGAACAUGAGGUCCAUUUGAUUGUUGGGUCAAUAUAUAUACUGGACUUUACCAUUAAUUUGGUCGGUAGAGGGUUAUAGCUGACGAGCUCAACGAGAGUGGGACCAAUCACAAUUAAAACAAGUUGGUAUUAUUUUGUCUUUCAUUUGGUCCUCUCUCUCUCUCUCUCUAUAUUUUCCUCGCGCUCGCCAAGCCAAUAGAGCCAAAAAGGAAAGAAGAGCGGAAACACCGAACACCAUAACAAACACUAGUAAUGACAACAACACCAACAAUGCUAAUCCACCCACAACAGACCCAACAAUUAUCCAGACCUUUGAAUUACUCCUUUCCUUUACUCGGUGGUGGUGGUGGGAAACCUGGUGGUGGUCUUGGGGCAAUGGAUUCAACUACUAUAGAGAAAUGCCCCUGUUGGACAGUUAAACAUGUGUUGCCUGAUACUACAUUGCUGAAGUUUACCAAACCAUGUAAAUCAAACCAAACACACUUGGGAACAGACCCAUCAGGAGCCGGCAUCACAUCUUGGAAUUCAAUCGAUAUGGGGUCACCAGAUGCCCUAAUAUCCAAUUCUGGCAAAUUCUUAGCUGAUAAAUCUGAAGCAUCAUAUGCAAGAAGACCAAGAACAGGAGCCAAGUAAGUGUAUUUGGAUAAUGGAUAAUAUGUACCAGACCAAUUGCCCAAAUUCUGGUACACCAAAACAAGCCUUUCGACAUAGGGGCUCUCAAUAACCCCCAUAGGAAUACGAAACUCUUUGUACAUAUUCACACCUCUAUGUCUUAAGCUGCCACUCCUGAGCCUCAUUGCUGCAAUCUUAAUCCCAGUCAAAUUUGAAGGAACAACCCCUUCAACGGGAAUACCGGUGCUGGGACGAACAAAAGCUCUAUAAGCAUAGUCUUGGAGAAGGGCAUCAAGAGCAGGAGCAGAGCCAGAUUGAGCCACAACAUGCAGUGAAAGAAAGGAAAACAAUGUCAUAGAAACAAGCAUUGCCAGACUUCGAAGAAGCCCCAUCGAUGCUUUUCAAUCCUCCAACUUGCCAAUCAAAUUAACCUUGUAACACUCCAGUGAAAUAUUCAAUACCCACAAAGACUAUAUUAACAAAAUUCCAACACCAACUUAAAUACCUAAGAUCCAAAUCAAACAAUAACAGAAAUGCAGACGGAUAAAUGCGGCAAAUUCCUUGAAAGAAGCUUCAAGCUCAAAACUUGGGCAUUACCAAAUCAAUAAGUUGGUGUCACGUUGCCAGUGACAACGGUUACUGCAUUAAAAUAUAUAUAUAUAUGCCCUCACACUCUCAGAGGAUUAUGUAAAGCAGCUUUGAAGGUUUCAGCCGUUGUAGCCCUCUUUCUCUUUUGGAAUCCUUGUAAAAGAAGACUCGGUGACUCAAAAUAGAAUCUUUAACAGCAUUUUAAUUUUCUCCCAGAAAUUAAGCCCAUGAUUCUCCAGCAUUUACCCAUGAUACGGUAAUUAACAAUAUAAUGACAGAAAUAAAUAGCCAGUAAGAAAAAUAAAACGCCUCAUUUGAACAGCCAAUCCAUCAUUAUUAGAGUUAAUAAUAUUGGAUUACUUACUAGGUAGCUGAUGAUUUUCUCGUGCUACCCACCGAAUCUUUGACAGAUAACGCUGCUGUACCGUACAUCCGCCUUGGCCGUACAGCAGGCAAGUGUGAUUUUACCAAAAUAAUUUAAAAAAUUUUUUUACCAAACACUAAAAUUAAUUUUUAAUUUUUUACAAUCACUUUAAGUCUUCAAAGAUAAACCCUAAUUUGCCCUUAAGUUGGGCACCAUAUUUCAUUUUGGUUCAUGAUUUGAUUUGAUUUCAUAAUUCGCUAGCUAGAUCAUCUAAAGAACAUGGUCCCCAACCAUAUAGAAUCUCAAAAUUGGACUCAUCUGCCCUAUUUUUAUUAGUAAGCAAGUGUGAUUUUACCAAAAUAAUUUAAAAAAUUUUUUUACCAAACACUAAAAUUAAUUUUUAAUUUUUUACAAUCACUUUAAGUCUUCAAAGAUAAACCCUAAUUUGCCCUUAAGUUGGGCACCAUAUUUCAUUUUGGUUCAUGAUUUGAUUUGAUUUCAUAAUUCGCUAGCUAGAUCAUCUAAAGAACAUGGUCCCCAACCAUAUAGAAUCUCAAAAUUGGACUCAUCUGCCCUAUUUUUAUUAGUAAGCAAGUGUGAUUUUACCAAAAUAAUUUAAAAAAUUUUUUUACCAAACACUAAAAUUAAUUUUUAAUUUUUUACAAUCACUUUAAGUCUUCAAAGAUAAACCCUAAUUUGCCCUUAAGUUGGGCACCAUAUUUCAUUUUGGUUCAUGAUUUGAUUUGAUUUCAUAAUUCGCUAGCUAGAUCAUCUAAAGAACAUGGUCCCCAACCAUAUAGAAUCUCAAAAUUGGACUCAUCUGCCCUAUUUUUAUUAGUAAGCAAGUGUGAUUUUACCAAAAUAAUUUAAAAAAUUUUUUUACCAAACACUAAAAUUAAUUUUUAAUUUUUUACAAUCACUUUAAGUCUUCAAAGAUAAACCCUAUAAAGCAGCUUUGAAGGUUUCAGCCGUUGUAGCCCUCUUUCUCUUUUGGAAUCCUUGUAAAAGAAGACUCGGUGACUCAAAAUAGAAUCUUUAACAGCAUUUUAAUUUUCUCCCAGAAAUUAAGCCCAUGAUUCUCCAGCAUUUACCCAUGAUACGGUAAUUAACAAUAUAAUGACAGAAAUAAAUAGCCAGUAAGAAAAAUAAAACGCCUCAUUUGAACAGCAAUCCAUCAUUAUUAGAGUUAAUAAUAUUGGAUUACUUACUAGGUAGCUGAUGAUUUUCUCGUGCUACCCACCGAAUCUUUGACAGAUAACGCCACAAUGACUCACAUGAAUCCACCGUGAAACCCUAGAAUCUUGAGAUAAAUCAUGAUUCACUUCGAGGCAAGAUCACGAACACUCACAGCGAAACAAUGCAAGUAGGUGACUGGCAGCGUAAAAAAUCAAAACUUUUUCAAUUCCCUUGUAAAUUGAACUAGCAGCAUUUGGAUUAAAACCCCAGCACUCAAAGAGCCGUGGCCGAUGGGCACAAAUACUUGCUUCUGAUUUGAUAAUGGAUCCAAAGGCUUAAUGGGUAAUACAAGUAAAGGAGAAAACUUUUUACUUUAAACGAAAUUUUGAGGGGAAAAAAGACGGAACUCGGUAAUGAGAAAUGGGGAAUAUAAGAGAGGAGAUAAGCUUUGGCUGCUAAGUUAGGAUCUAAUAGUAUGCAUCACCUAUAGAGAGUUGACUACCACUCGUGCUCUAGAGCCAUCGAGAAAUUUGUAGGGGUGGCAAACAGCGGGUUUG